rnacentral:rRNA from 1 species
CUUGGGAGAAUGACUUCUUAGUAUAAUAUAUGUAUGUGCUUUUUAUAUAUUUAUAUUAUAAUUAGGAAAUAUCACGAAAUGUGAAUGUAAUUCUAGGUAAAAGAUUGAUAAUGACAAAUUUUUAUCUAUAUGUCUUGACCAAAUCUUGUGCCAGCAGUCGCGGCAACACAAGGAAGACUAGUGUUAUUCAUCUUAAAUAGGUUUAUGGGGUACCUAGACGGUAAAUUAGGCCUUAAAUGGAACGUUUUUACUAGAGUUAUACAUGCGUGGGGAUUGUGUAAGUAUUACCAGAGUAGAGAUGCAAUUUUUUAAUACUGUUAAGACUGGUAAAGGCGAAGGCAAACCUUUAUAUAUUAACUGACGUUGAGGGACGAAGGCUUGGGGCGCAAACAGGAUUAGAUACCCUAAUAGUCCAGGCAGAGAAU